rnacentral:rRNA from 1 species
AACGAACGCUGGCGGCAGGCUUAACACAUGCAAGUCGAACGCCCCGCAAGGGGAGUGGCAGACGGGUGAGUAACGCGUGGGAAUCUACCGUGCCCUACGGAAUAGCUCCGGGAAACUGGAAUUAAUACCGUAUACGCCCUACGGGGGAAAGAUUUAUCGGGGUAUGAUGAGCCCGCGUUGGAUUAGCUAGUUGGUGGGGUAAAGGCCUACCAAGGCGACGAUCCAUAGCUGGUCUGAGAGGAUGAUCAGCCACAUUGGGACUGAGACACGGCCCAAACUCCUACGGGAGGCAGCAGUGGGGAAUAUUGGACAAUGGGCGCAAGCCUGAUCCAGCCAUGCCGCGUGAGUGAUGAAGGUCUUAGGAUUGUAAAGCUCUUUCACCGGUGAAGAUAAUGACGGUAACCGGAGAAGAAGCCCCGGCUAACUUCGUGCCAGCCGCCGCUGUAAGAC